GAUCUGGUACUUUAAAUAAAAGACUUGAUUUGCAUUCAAAAAAUGAGUUAUACUCCCAGGUCC
rnacentral:tRNA from 1 species